UACAAAGGGCUGCGAGACCGCGAGGUUAAGCGAAUCCCAUAAAACCAUUCUCAGUUCGGAUUGCAGGCUGCAACUCGCCUGCAUGAAGCCGGAAUCGCUAGUAAUCGCGGAUCAGCAUGCCGCGGUGAAUACGUUCCCGGGCCUUGUACACACCGCCCGUCACACCACGAGAGUUUGUAACACCCGAAGUCGGUGGGGUAACCUUUUGGAGCCAGCCGCCUAAGGUGGGACAGAUGAUUGGGGUGAAGUCGUAACAAGGUAGCCGUAUCGGAAGGUGCGGUUGG
rnacentral:rRNA from 1 species